rnacentral:miRNA from 1 species
ACCUAGAUCACUUGCGGGUCUGUUAGAAUGCAGAUUCUGGUUUGGGGCCCACAAUUCUGUACUUCUAACUAGCUCCCAUGUGCUGCUAAU